rnacentral:misc_RNA from 1 species
CCAAUAGCGUAUAUUAAAGUUGUUGCAGUUAAAAAGCUCGUAGUUGAAUUUCGGGAUCAAUGUUUCGGUCAUGCCGUUGGUAUGUACUGAUAUUAUUGAUUUCUCACCUUCUAAAGAACCGUAAUGCCAUUAAUUUGGUGUCACGGGGAAUUAGGACUGUUACCUUGAAAAAAUUAGAGUGUUUAAAGCAGGCUCACGCUUGAAUACAUUAGCAUGGAAUAAUGAAAUAGGACAUCCGAUUCUAUUUUGUUGGUUUCUAGGAUCGAUGUAAUGAUUAAUAGGGAUAGUUGGGGGCAUUAGUAUUCAAUUGUCAGAGGUGAAAUUCUUGGAUUUAUUGAAGACUAACUACUGCGAAAGCAUUUGCCAAGGAUGUUUUCAUUAAUCAAGAACGAAAGUUAGGGGAUCGAAGACGAUCAGAUACCGUCGUAGUCUUAACCAUAAACUAUGCCGACUAGGGAUCGGAUGAUGUUAAUUUUUUAAUGACUCAUUCGGCGCCUUACGGGAAACCAAAGUGUUUGGGUC